rnacentral:rRNA from 1 species
GACGAACCGUACGAACGUUACUCGGAAUCACUGGGCUUAAAGCGCGUGUAGGCGGCAUUGUAAGUUGGAGGUGAAAUCCCAUCGGCUCAACCGUGGAAUUGCCCCCAAAACUGCGAUGCUUGAGGGAGGUAGGGGUCUGUGGAACUUCCGGUGGAGCGGUGAAAUGUGUUGAGAUCGGAAGGAACGCCAGUGGCGAAAGCGGCAGGCUGGAUCUCUUCUGACGCUGAGACGCGAAAGCUAGGGUAGAGAACGGG